UACGUAGGGUGCGAGCGUUAAUCGGAAUUACUGGGCGUAAAGGGUGCGCAGGCGGUUAUAUAAGACAGAUGUGAAAUCCCCGGGCUCAACCUGGGAACUGCGUUUGUGACUGUAUGACUAGAGUACGGUAGAGAGGGGUGGAAUUCCUGGUGUAGCAGUGAAAUGCGUAGAGAUGUGGAGGAACACGAUGGCGGAAGGCAGCCCCCUGGGUCAAGAUUGACGCUCAUGCACGAAAGCGUGGGGAGCAAACAGG
rnacentral:rRNA from 1 species